rnacentral:sRNA from 1 species
GGUUAAGAAACCGAUCAUAGAAGGGAAAAACUUCUUGAUAGAUUCUUUCACUUCAUCAGCUUUAUAUAGUAUUUCAGAGAUGAAAUUAGAAGACCCACUAGAGCGAGUUUUGGUCUCUUCUGAUAAGUGUGUAUUUUGCAUGUUUUGAGCAUCCAUUUGUCAUCACUAUAGCACCAUAUCAUCAUUGUUUUAUACCAUUUCUCAUCAUUUGUCAUCUCUUUGUAUAUUUAGGAUAGGUUUGCAUGCAUGUUGCACAUUUGUGUUGAUUUCAAGUGAUUUGGAGCUGUUGACGAGCUAAUUGGAAGAAGCGGACCUGAUCAUGUCAAACCACUCGACCCUGAGGUCGAGUAGAAGCUUCAAGACCUCAACAGACCAUUCGACCACCAGGUCGAGUAGAAGACAGCACCACUUCACCUCACCACUCGACCGCCUGGCCGAGUACCAUCAGGAGAGACACUCGACCACAUCACUCGACCCCGAGGUCGAAUGUCUUCAUCUCCACCACCUGACAAUCACUCGACCACAUCACUCGACCCCGAGGCCGAGUGUCUUCACCUCCAUUACCAGAUCACCACUCGAUCACACCACUCUACCUGGAAGUCGAGUAUCACCAUCACCACCACUCGACUACAUACUCGAUUGCGAGCUUCAGAGUCUUUUUCAUUCCGCACUCAACCAGACACUCGAGCACAAGGAAGAAAAGAAGACUUCAGCUAUUCGCUCGACCUCUAACUCGACCACCUAGGUCGAGUAUAGUUCUUAAUCCGUCCCAAUACUGCGUUGUUUUGAGUAUUAGGGUUUCAGAAUAUUUUGUUAUAAGUAGCAUGUACUUUACAUUUUUGAGAACAAGUUUUUAUCUAGUUUUAUUCCGCAGACACUGUGUUCUAGACCUUUUGUAAUCCGGAUUUCUCUUUAUCUAUUCAGUAUUCAGUAUUUGUUCUUAAUUUCGUUUUACUGUUGUUCAUCCUGUUACCAUCUUGCUAUUACUCUAUUGUUAUCAUGUCUUCAUUCCAUUCAACGUUUAUGCUUUCUGCUAUGAUGUCUGAGUAGUGAAUAGGUUUCUGAGGAUGGGUUAGAGUAGUGUAGAAUUCUCAGUAUGCUAGGUGGUUGAGUUUGAUUGAUAGAUCCCUUCUGGAUUAGUUGUUCUUAAUGCCUAUUGCUUUCUGAUCAACUGGAAUUUGAGCCCAGACAUUUCUGCGCCCAAAAGGUGUUCGAUGAAAUGUCUGAACCACUAAUUCUAGAGAUUCGUGGCCCUGUACCAAGGUAUUGGUUGCAGGGAGCGUAUUGGCUUUAACUUGUUGAUUCGUAAUGCCUGUUAGGUUAGCUCUCGUCAAUGGUGAUUGACUCUGGGACUAGGUUAACUUGAGGGUCUCUGUUGCGGUGGCACUUAGAUUUGGUUAAUGAACUUGUUGUCUAGGGAUAAUUUAUUGAGCUUGUCAAUCACCUGUAAACUGAGGAAACGAAACUACUCAAUUACCCCAUCCUCAGGAAUUCUUUAUCUAAUUGAAUUCUUUGUUUACUCUACUGUUGUUUACUGCAUCUUGUCAUCUGCUGCUUAAUUUCUGCAAUUCUUUCUUGUUACUCGACCUCAUACUCGACCACCCAGUUGUCUGGCAACAGACUGUGCAGUCGAGUAUCUGUGUUAUACUUUCUGUCUGUUACUCGACCUGUCCCUCGACCUCACCCAGUGCUCUGUAAAGAGCUGUGUUGGUCGAGUGUUUUGCUGUUUUUGCUUGAAUUUCUGUUGUUAGCAUCACACCCAUUUGGAUUGACAACCUAAAAUACUACAACGACAUGAUUGGUGUUUUAGGAUAAUUGAUCUUAAAAACCUAUUAUCAAUUUGGCGCCGUUACCAAUUGGGUGUUUGUUUGUUACAUUUGAGAUUUCAGACUUGCUUAGAUCAAGUUCUUUUUCAAUUUUCUUUUCGGUUACUAACUGUGUGUUUUUCUUGUUGUCUUCUUGAUCCAGGUACACCUCUGCUGUAUGCAAACUCGAUCAACAGGCAAUCAGAACCUCCUUUUCAACGACAACAUCGACUGAAUAGCUCGCGAACUCAGAGAAAGGAGAAACACAGUCAACCUUGUACCUCAACAACCACUUGAAAUGGGUGACGAACAGAAUUAAAAAAAUGGCCCUGCCAACAUUGGUUCUGGAGAUGCACCACGUGAUCACUUUAUAGAGGAAAGGAAUUGCACCUCCUGCUAUCCAGAACAACAACUUUGAGAUUAAGAGUGGUCUCAUCUCGAUGAUUCAGGGGAACAAAUUCCAUGGUCUACCAAUGGAGGAUCCACUCGACCACCUUGAUGAAUUCGAUAGGCUGUGCAACCUAACAUGGGAGCGUUUCAAGGGUUACACCAACCAAUGCCCUCAUCAUGGCUUCACUAAAGCCUCUCUGCUCAGCACUCUUUAUAGAGGCGUUUUACCACGCAUCAGAAUGCUUCUGGAUACCGCCAGCAAUGGGAAUUUCCAGAACAAUGAUGUUGAAGAAGGCUGAGAAUUGGUUGAGAACCUAGCUCAAUCAGAUGGUAAUUACAACGAAGACUGCGAUAGGACCGUUAGAGGCACAGCUGACUCUGAUGACAAACACAGGAAGGAGAUCAAAGCGCUGAAUGACAAGCUGGAUAGGAUUCUUCUUAGCCAGCAGAAGCAUGUGCACUUCCUUGUUGAUGACGAGCAGUUUCAAGUCCAAGAUGGGGAGGGUAACCAGUUGGAAGAAGUCUGCUACAACAAUAACAACCAAGGUGGCUACAAAGGAUACAACAACUUCAAAACCAAAAAUCCUAAGCUCUCCUACCCCAACACCAACGUUGCUAAUCCUCAGGAUCAUGUGUAUCCUCCACAGCAACAACAAGGUCAGAACAAACCUUUUGUUCCUUACAACCACGGUUUCGUUCCCAAACAGCAAUUUUUGGGGAACUACCAGCAACAACCACCACCUGGGUUUGCACCUCCGCAAAACAAAGGUCCUGCUGCUCCUGAUGCUGAAAUGAAACAUAUGGUACAACAGCUGCUACAGGGACACGCAUCUAGCUCCAUGGAAAUUGCUAAGAAAUUAUCUGAAUUGCACUAUAAGCUGUACUGCAGCUACAAUGACCUGAAUGCCAAAGUGGAGGCAUUAAAUACCAAAGUCAAUACUUAGAAGGCCAAUCAGCAUCUACCUCUGCACCUAAAGUUACAGGACUUCCUGGGAAGUCAAUACAGAAUCCGAAGGAGUAUGAAACUUCUCACGCCAUCACCAUCUGCCAUGAUCGAGAGCUGCCAACUCGACCUGUCCCUUAUUUAAUCAAUGGGGACAAUGAUGUUCAAGAAGGGGAGGCUUCUACUCAGAUUGAAGUCUCCGUUGUUGAACUCAACCAUUCUGCCAGUUCUCGCCAUCUCAUUCAAUCCACCUCGGAAGAGAAGGCCGCCAUAAUCGAGAAAAUGGUGAAACGAUUCAAACCUACUCCACUACCCUCACGUGCUCUUCCGUGGACAUUCAGGAAAGCGUGGAUGGAGAGAUACAAGUCUGUUGCAUCGAAGCACCUGGACGAGAUUAAAGCAGUGAUGCCACUGAUGGAAGUUCUCAACCUAAUUCCUGAUCCUCACAAAGAUGAGAGAAAUUUGAUACUGGAAAGGAUCAAGAUGUAUCACGAUUCAGAUGAUGAAAGUGAUGUCACUCCAUCUCGAGCUGCUGAUAAGAGGAUUGUUCAAGAGAAGUUAGAAGAUCCUGGAUCUUUCACUCUACCAUGUUCCAUUGGGGAAUUAGCUUUCAGCGAUUGUCUGUGCGAUCUAGGAGCUUUGUAAGCUUAAUGCCACUCUCUGUGGCAAGAAGGUUAGAGUUUAUUUAGUAUAAACCUUGCGACCUGACUUUGAUCCUUGCGGAUACGUCUUCCAGAAAAACCUUUGGCAUGCUGAAAGAUCUACCAGUCAUGAUUAAUGGAGUAGAAGGGCCUACAAACUUCGUGGUACUGGAUAUGGAAGUAGAGCAUAAGGAUCCCUUAAUACUGGGAAGACCCUUCUUAGCUUCAGUGGGAGCAGUGAUAGAUGUCAGCGAAGGGAAAAUAAGUCUCAACCUUGGAGAGCACAUCAAGUUGCAGUUUGGCAUCAACAAAACUCCACAAGGGUCAACAGAAGAUGGAAGAACCUCUGGAAAUGAUAGAGCGAUCUCAGGAGAAGGAUAUGAGACUAAAAGAGUGAAAGAACUUAAAAAGAGGUCUGAUAAGCAAGAUGAAACUAUAGAGAAGCUAGCCCACACUGUUGAGGAACUUAGAAGUAAGCUGAAUCAGUUGCAGAAGGAAGCUCAACCUAAAGGCAGGACUGACACUAUCCCGAGAAAGAAGUUCACUUCAAGAUGGUCUGAAGAGAUAGAUUACCCUCCAGAAGAGAAAGAAGCAUAUUUUGAAGAGAGGGGAAUUGAGUAUUCUGCUGUAGACCUCUCCAGGGAGAAAGCUGAGUAUGAUGAUGAUACUAGAGAGGACUAUGCAGACCCUCUCUAUCAUUCAUUUUCUUCUUGAUAAGUGUGAGGAGUCAAGCUAGAGACUUUAAACAAGCUCACUUGGGAGGAAGUCCCAUGAUUAUCCUUGUAAAUAAUUUUUACUUUCUUGUUAUUUUUGAUAUGUUUUAGUUGUGUUUGUGGUUCUCAGGAAUAGAGGAAUAACGUGAAGCUAGAGUAAAAAAGCAAAACUUUUACUCUACAGAUGGCCUAGAGAUCGAGUACAUUCGUCGAGUAUGAGUGAUGUUUAAAACCUAAAAAAAUUUUAAAUCAUCAUUUAACUCGACCAACAAAAGCUACAUAGUCUUCCAGGGAGUUUAUCAAGUUUACAGAAGAUUGCGUGAUUUCCUGGAGUUUUUCUAGUGAACAAAGAAUACAGAGAAGAGACAAGAAGACAUUGUGGGACCCGUCGCUGAAGCCCAUGUCCUCCAUGCAACAGACCAAAGGACAAGAAAUCUCUCCUCAUCUUUUCUCCUCCACUCGACGUCAACCCCAUCACUCUACCCCCAUCCCUCUUCACUCGACCUCUUUCAAACCGCUUCACCAUCUCUCUCCUCUCAAGGUGACUCGAUCGCCAAGCACAACCAAGGAAUCACUCGACCGCGAGUUCACCAAACCGAAAAAAAAAC